GAGGGGGUCCUACUUUCAAUGCAUCUCAGUGCCUUUGCUUCCCAUCAUUUGAAACACUCCAGUUACAGAUGGGCCAGACCUGAUACUGUACUGGCCCAGGAAGCCAGCGUUCUAGUCUCAGCUCCUCCACUGACCUACUCCAUAAUCUUGUGCAACACACCUUGGUCCUAUCUUCCAAGACUUCUACCCUUCCUCCCCCCACCACCAUUUCUCUUGGAAUGAAGGCUGGAGCAUUGAUUCGAUUUACCAAAUCACAAGUGUCAAAGCAGCCAGCAGGGAACGUUCUGACUAUCAGAGGAUACAUCUCUGAAGAAGAUGCUAUAGACUGACUAGCUACCUCCCUCUGGUGAAUGAGGAGCUGUGAAGAACUGCAUCGUUUCCACAGAGAAAGCAGAAUCAACACUGGGCCACGAUGAUCCAGAGUAGAUUUAGCAGGGUGAAGAAUGGGGAAUGGAGCUUUUUUACAUCCGCCUCUUGCAGUGGAUAGUUUCCUCGCUUGAUAGGUGUGUGAGGCCUGUGCUGGAGCAAACAAGAGCACAGUUUAUAUGAACAUUUAAUUAAUUCCUUGUUGCAGUGGGUUUGAAAUUAAUCCAGUUGUCCCAGUUUAACAAUGGCAACUUCAAUUUCAUCUUCAUCCUGCAAGACUAGCAUUGUGACCAGCAUAAUUGAUGUCUACCCCUGUGGGAAUAGUGAGUGUGAGCGGCGAACCAGCAGAGGGAGCACUGCUGCUGUGUUUCUGAGCAGCCUUUAGACUCCUGGGUAUUGCUGUCCCAGCAGUGUGUCAGGUUUUCAAAUACUAGUAUGCAGAGGAUUGGAUUCAGGUCUGUGCUUUGCUAGCACAGCUGGGAAAGAGGAGCACACAUCAUUCUAAGGACCCUUUUCCCUAUGAAGUGGCCAGUUUCUGUGGACUUUUGCAAGAGCAGUGUCCAGCCUUCAGUCUGUGGUUGUGGAGAUGAGAGCAGCUCAAAGCUUUAGGAAGAGUGCCUCAGAGGCUUACACACAUCUGGGAAAAAGUAGUGCAUCUGAGUUUUUAAUUCUUUCCAGGCCUGGGAUUGUCAAGGGAGCCUAAGUGAAUUAGGUGUCCAGUGCCCAUUGAAAUCUCAGUUUGAUAUGGGUACUUAACUCCCUUAUGCACUUUGGAAAAUCCCAGCCUAGGUAUUUAGAGACUAUACAGAUAACAACAACAAUCGACUUUUGCAGGUGCAUUUUGCACCUGCAAAUAACUAUGCCCACAAUUUUACACCCACAGAUGCUCCCAUUUAGAAAUAGACCUACUUCAUUCACAAAUCAGGGAUUGCGAUGUUGAAAUAGGAGCAUUUGGCUCCACAUUUAAUUGCAUGUGCCAGAUUAUUAUUCUUGUCAUGGUUAUUUUUAGUAGAAGUCAUGGACAGGUUACAGGCAAUAAACAAAAAUUCACAAAAGCCGUGACCUGUCUGCGACUUUUGCUGCUGCGGCUCCUUGGUUUCCCCCACCACGGUGGUGGCUGGGAACUGUGGGGUUCCCACUCCUCCCAUGGUGGCUGGGAGCUGCAGGUUGACCAUAUUUCCCAAAGAGAAAACGGGACCCUCCUAGCCACUUGCCUGAGGCAUCCCCCUUCCCCUCCUGAGUCUGUCACCUGUCACCGGAACCCUGAGGAGGCCUCCUGUCGCUGCUGUCGCCUGUUGCUGGAACCCUGCCGGGGCCCCACUGGCUGUGAGCUCCAGAGUCCUGCAGCCCCUGGGACUGAAGCAGAGAAUGGCAGGGAGGUCUCUGGACUUCCAUAAACGUAGCCUUAAUUAUCAUAAGUUCAAAAAGAGAAGCCAUUGAUUAAAAAGCUUGGGUAACAUUUUCCAAAGUGUUGAAGGCCGUGUCUACACUAUAGGUGCUACAUUGGCAUGGCUGCUGCACUGUAGCAAUGCUGCUGUAGUGCAGAAGCUUCCUACAGUGAUUGAAGGGGGUUUUCCACCACUGUAAGAAUUCCAUCUCCCCAAGUGACGGUGUUGAAUUUGAUGGAAGCAUUCCUCUGUCAACCUGGCUGCAUCUACACUGGGGGUUAGGUCAGCAUAGCUAUGGUGCUCAGGGAUGUGAAUUUUUCACACCUUUGAGCAUUGUAGCUAUGUCAACCUGACUUUUAAGUGUAGACCAGGCCUAAAUGACUUAGGAGCCCAAAUCCUAUUGAAAGUCAAUGAGACUCAAGUUCUUGAGUGCUGAGCCCUUUUGCAAACACAUCUUAGGAGCCUAAGUCACUUAUAUGCUUCUGAACAUUGUACCUCUGGUCCUUAGAGUCCAGAAGAUUGUACUCAGCCUUCAAGAACUUUAUAAUAGGUUAUACUGCGGGCCUUAAAAUAUUAUGGUAACCUUUUAAAUUUGUUUGCUGCUGUUGGAGAGGCAAAUAAAGGGUCCUUUCACCAGAGGAGUUCAAAGUACAGUACAGAUAUUUAUUAAUUAAGCCUCACAACAUCUUUUCAAUUUGGAAAUUUGAUGAAGCAAUAUUUUCUUAUUGUAAUUCUUUAGAUUUUCUACCUGUGUUUAUAUAUUGAUAGAUUCCUAGAGCACUAUAGGUACUAGAGAAACCAAAAUAAAUACAAUCUUUCACAUGGGGAAACAAAGGCACAGAGGUUGAAACUUGAACAAGUUUGCAUAGUGAGGGCUGGUCUGCACUAGAAAAUUAGAUUGACCUAGCUACAUCAUUCAGGGGUGUGAAAAAUCCACACCCCCCCCCCCAGAGCCAAGUAGUUAAACUGACCUAAGUCCCGUGUAGACACUGCUAGGCUGCCGGAAGAAUUGUUCUAUUGACCUAGCUAGGGCUGCUUGGGGAGGUGGAUUACCUACUCUGAUGGGAGAACCCCUCCCUUCGGUGUAGGUAGUGUCCACAGCGAAGCACUGCAGAGGUGAUGCUGCAGUGCUUCAAGUGCAGGCAAGCCCUACAUUUGUGACAUUGCUGGGAUUAAAACUCUUGACUCUCAGCCCCAGGCUCUAAUCACCCGACAGUCAUGUCUGUACUGUUGGCCCAUUCAGACCAAUAUAUUUCAUUACCUCUCUAAGGAUCAUAGCAAGAACAUCAAAUUCAGCCUUCUCAGAAACUGGCUGAUUGACCCAUAGUAUCAUAGAAAUAGAGCCAGAAUUUCAAAAGAGUUUCAGCACCCAACAGCCCCCAUUUGAGCAUUGAAUAAGUGCUGGAUUUUUAGAAGACCUGAGCUCCCACUUAGGCACCUAAACAAUAGAUUUUCAAAUGGGCUCAUCACACAGCUUCUCCCAUGAAGUGUACGGGGAGGUGCUGAGGAAUCUUGGCCCAUAAUGGUUUACAGUCAUUGUCAGUCACCUACAGGGGGGGAUUUUUGGUUUUGUUUUUUUUAGAACCCCAACCAAAUGUAUCCUGCAGUUAGUUCUUUCUGUAUUCAGAUGACUUCAGCCAUCAUCAGGCAUAUCCCAUAUACUGGCAGGCUCCCUCACAAAUCCAUUAUAGACCAGCCCUUUGGGUAUUUUUGAGCAUACAGCAUGCUAACCACCGCUAGCUGUUACAAAACUGUUUGUUUGAGAGAAAAAGAUCAAUAAUCUAUGUUUUCCUUAUCUUACUGUUAGAAAGCAGAUUCUAUAAUAUUGCUUCAUACCAGCAAACCCGGUGCCUGCUGCUGCACAAUGUAGCUAUGCAGUCAGAAGAUCAGAAUUAAUCUGCACUUCGAGUUGGCAAGCUUGUGUGAUUUUACUGAUGCUAGGAGAUCAGUGGCCAAAGAGAUGCUGCAGAACUCAGGCUGCUCAGACAGCAGUGACAACUAGUUGACUAAAAGGAAAACCUAAUGGGAUGUUGUAUGUCAUUAUUUAUUAGACUAAUGAGAGACUUUGAUGGGUGACCACGGUUUGGCUAACAAUCUCUUCCUCGUGGAUAUAACAGCAGCUGUUAAAUGCAACGCCUCAGAAGAAAAACAAUUGAAGACUUUUAGUAUCAAUAUAUAUAAUAUUUUUAUAAGAACUGAUCACGGAAGCCAAGGACCUGAGCCCGCUCUCACUGAAAGAGGGAUGGGGCCAUAAGUAAUAGCAAAUAUCAUUUUCAUCCCUAAAUAGACUUAUUAAGAUGUGUCUAAGGUUACCAUAACCCAGCCUCACCCCACAGUGUAAGUUUAGCAGGGUAUUACUAUCCCAGUGUGGAGAUUUAAUGAAGCAAACUUUGUUAUAAAUGAUUUGGAAUUUGAUGAUUCUUCUAAUCCUGUAUAAAAUAUGUCUGGCCACCACACUGUCACAUUCCCAUGGCACCAAAAUGGGGGGUUAAGAAAAAAAACCCUGACUAUAUCACACAGAGCUACAUAUGGUCACAGUCUCACAUCAACAUGCACCUGGAGCCAGGAAGGAGUGUGUAGAGUGGAGAGAGCACAGGACUAGGAGUCAGGACACAUGGGCUCAGUUCUUGGUUCUUCCGCUGACCUUACACAAAUCACUUAGCUCACAAUUUUCAAACAAGGCUGCCUCAAAUUAGGCAUCAAGGACAUGAUUUUCAGAUACACUGAGCACCCCAGCUCACUUUGAAUACCUCUUACUUUUGAGCAUCAAUAUGGACUUAAGUACCCAGCUUUAGAAACCAUAAGUUUGCAAGUGGUGGCUUUAACUCUGUGCCUCAGUUUACCCAUCUUUAAGAUGAACAUAAAGCCACACACCCUUACAGCAAGGUGUUGUGAAGCUGAAUUCCUUAACAUUUGCAAACUAUUGUGAGCUUUUUGGUUGAAUGGAGCUAUUCUGUGCAAAGUAUCAUGCAUUUUAUUCCUAAAAUAUAGCCUUUUCAAGCUAUGCCUACACUAAGUCUGUUCAUUUGGUUAAAAGACGGCUAUAAAAUUGUAAUAGAGAAAAAUGUAAAGCACUAAUCUGUCACAUUGCUAUAGCACCAUUAUUCCCAAAGGGUCCCCAGUGCUUUACAAACUCAUCUACAAAAUAUUUGCAAGGAUCACU